GACGAACGCUGGCGGCGUGCUUAGCACAUGCAAGUCGAACGGUAAGGCCCUUCGGGGUACACGAGUGGCGAACGGGUGAGUAACACGUGGGUGAUCUGCCCUGCACUUCGGGAUAAGCCUGGGAAACUGGGUCUAAUACCGGAUAGGACCACUGCCUGCAUGGGUGGUGGUGGAAAGCUUUUGCGGUGUGGGAUGGGCCCGCGGCCUAUCAGCUUGUUGGUGGGGUGAUGGCCUACCAAGGCGACGACGGGUAGCCGGCCUGAGAGGGUGACCGGCCACACUGGGACUGAGAUACGGCCCAGACUCCUACGGGAGGAAGCAGUGGGGAAUAUUGCACAAUGGGCGCAAGCCUGAUGCAGCGACGCCGCGUGAGGGAUGACGGCCUUCGGGUUGUAAACCUCUUUCAGCACCGACGAAGCGCAAGUGACGGUAGGUGCAGAAGAAGGACCGGCCAACUACGUGCCAGCCGCCGCGGUAA
rnacentral:rRNA from 1 species